rnacentral:rRNA from 1 species
UACGAAGGGGGCUAGCGUUGCUCGGAAUCACUGGGCGUAAAGCGUGCGUAGGUGGCGUGUUAAGUGUGAUGUUAAAUCGUGUGGCUCAACCAUAUCGAUGUGUCGUAUACUGGCAUGCUAGAGGACAGCAGAGGCAAGUGGAAUUUGUAGUGUAGCAGUGAAAUGCGUAGAUAUUACAAGGAACACCAAUGGCGAAGGCAGCUUGCUGGGCUACUCCUGACACUGAGGUACGAAAGCGUGGGGAGCAAACAGG